GCUUCCGCACGCUACGUCAUCCCCGCCCAAGAAGGUCCGCCCUUGAUCGUCUUUUAAAUGAUUUUAAAAUAGUAAUAUUUAUAAUGACAAGGGCUACACUUUACUUAUACACAGAUAAGCAGACUCACGGACGUAAUGGAGGAGAAUUUUAUCAGAUCGCUCACCACCAUAACUUCCAGGUUACUACUGCAUGCCUCAACUUAGUCGGACUCCUACAAUUCAAAUGACCUACAAACGCGCCGUUUCAGGUGAACUAUGACUAGAUCUGACGAGUUGUGGCUGAUUGGUCAUCGGGAUCUGAGGGCGGCAGUCUUCCUUCUUAGGGCCAAGCAUUGUGAAAGUACUUCUCUGCACAGAUGAGAGAAACAGACCAAGGCAGAAGCCGCAAAAGUGACGCUGGGAUGUGUCAGUGGUUUUUGGAACGCAGCCCAUAUUCCCGGUCUUCAAAGGCCCCUGACCCUCACUGAUGAGUAGGAUGGUCUAUUGAAGCACCAGAGUUGGGUCUCAAGCACAGAUAAGGUCAGGGAAGCAAUGUUUCAAGACUCCCGGGAAGACAUAUCCGGCAUUGGCCACAAAGACGUGUCUUUGAUGAAAAAUCAAGAAGACAGGGAUUUUCUCAUCCAUCAUCUACGGCUGGAGUCCGCACUGUACUUGCCAAGGAAGUCGCUGGUGGAGCUGAGCCACCUCUGGGCCCUUGAGUGGGGCCCUUAACCUCCAUGGCUCCAGGGACACCGUGUGACUCUGCUCUCUGAUCCUCACCAUUAUGUCACUUUGGGCUCAAUAAAUGUACUGAACUGUAA